GUCUACGGUCAUGUCACCCUGAACGUGCCUGAUCUCGUCAGAUCUGAGAAGCUAAGCUGGGUCGGGCCUGGUUAGUACUUGGAUGGGAGACCACCUAGGAAUACCAGGUGCUGUAGGCA
rnacentral:rRNA from 1 species